rnacentral:rRNA from 1 species
UCCGAAGGGUGCAAACGUUGCUCGGAAUUAUUGGGCGUAAAGGGCGCGUAGGCGGCCACGCGUGUCUUCCGUGAAAUCCCUCGGCUCAACCGAGGACGUGCGGAAGAAACUGCGAGGCUCGAGUCCAGAAGAGGGGGGCGGAAUUCCCAGUGUAGCGGUGAAAUGCGUAGAUAUUGGGAGGAACACCGGUUGCGAAGGCGGCCCCCUGGGCUGGUACUGACGCUGAUGCACGAAAUCGUGGGUAGCAAACGGG